CAGCAGCCGCGGUAAUACGUAGGGGGCAAGCGUUGUCCGGAAUUACUGGGCGUAAAGGGUGCGCAGGCGGCCAUUUAAGUCAGGUGUGAAAUUCCACGGCUUAACCGUGGGGUUGCAUUUGAAACUGGGUGGCUUGAGUAUCGGAGAGGGUAGUGGAAUUCCCAGUGUAGCGGUGAAAUGCGUAGAUAUUGGGAGGAACACCAGUGGCGAAGGCGACUACCUGGACGAUCACUGACGCUGAGGCACGAAAGCUAGGGGAGCAAACAGGAUUAGAUACCCUGGUAGUCCUAGCUGUAAACGAUGGGUACUAGGUGUAGGGGGUUUCGAUACCUUCUGUGCCGGAGUUAACGCAAUAAGUACCCCGCCUGGGGAGUACGUGCGCAAGCAUGAAACUCAAAGGAAUUGACGGGGGCCCGCACAAGCGGUGGAGCAUGUGGUUUAAUUCGAAGCAACGCGAAGAACCUUACCAGGGCUUGACAUCCCUUGACCACCUCAGAGAUGAGGUCUCUCUUCGGAGCAAGGAGACAGGAGGUGCAUGGCC
rnacentral:rRNA from 1 species